rnacentral:tmRNA from 1 species
GGGGACGUUACGGAUUCGACAGGGAUAGUUCGAGCUUGGGUUGCGAGUCGAGGGGAUCGUCCUCGUAAAAACGUCAAAGCCAAUAAUAACUGGCAAAGAAAACAACAACUUCGCUUUAGCUGCUUAAUAACAGUUCGAAGCGGUUCCUCCCUCCAUCGCCCAUGUGGUAGGGUAAGGGACUCACUCUAAGUGGGCUACGCCGGAAGUCCUCCGCCUGGGGAGCAUGGAAGAGAAUAAUCAGGCUAGCGCUUCAGCUGCCCGUCGAUAGGCGAAAGAAGACGCGAAACCACAAAAUAUAUUGACUACACUCGUAGACGCUUAAGUGGCGAUGUUUCUGGACGUGGGUUCGAUUCCCACCGUCUCCACCA